GGCGGCGUGCCUAAUACAUGCAAGUCGAACGCACUCUCGUUUAGAUUGAAGGAGCUUGCUCCUGAUUGAUAAACAUUUGAGUGAGUGGCGACGGGUGAGUAACACGUGGGUAAUCUGCCCUAAAGUGGGGGAUAACAUUUGGAAACAGAUGCUAAUACCGCAUAAAACCUAACACCGCAUGGUGUAGGGUUGAAAGAUGGUUUCGGCUAUCACUUUAGGAUGGACCCGCGGUGCAUUAGUUAGUUGGUGAGGUAAAGGCUCACCAAGACCGUGAUGCAUAGCCGACCUGAGAGGGUAAUCGGCCACACUGGGACUGAGACACGGCCCAGACUCCUACGGGAGGCAGCAGUAGGGAAUCUUCCACAAUGGACGAAAGUCUGAUGGAGCAACGCCGCGUGAGUGAAGAAGGUUUUCGGAUCGUAAAACUCUGUUGUUGGAGAAGAAUGUAUCUGAUAGUAACUGAUCAGGUAGUGACGGUAUCCAACCAGAAAGCCACGGCUAACUACGUG
rnacentral:rRNA from 1 species